AUGAGUUUUAGUAAAUUUACUAUCUCUGAAAUGACUCCUUUAGGUAUUGGUAGAGGUAGAGGACUACAUAGCCCACCUGUUCCAUUCUCACUGGGUGACAGUCUAGGGGGGCAUAGGACAUAUUUUGGUGAGGAUUCUGUCCACAGUCCUUUUAGACAUAGGGAUAUAGUGGCACCCGAAAAUCAGCCUAUGAUUGAUUUACAAUCACCACAGUGCACUAGUACAUCAGUUCCUGAACCUCCCUCUGAUGAUGUGAGACUGGUUGACCAAAUGAGCACCAUUGUGCAGCAGAUAGGGAAGCAGCUAGCUGAUAGCAUUAUGUCACACCACAACACAUCUAGCCCUACAGCUACUGUGAAUGCAAGUCCUGAAGAAACAUACAAUACAAAAGCACCUUCCCCUAUUAACACGCUAGAUCUAUCUCAAGUCCAGUUGAUCACUCGGAGAGAAGUCAAAGACCCACCCGUUUUCCGAGGAGAGAGUUCAGAUGCACUGGCUGUUGAUGAAUGGGAGGAAUUAAUGAAGAAUUACAUAAGAAAAAGCAAUAUUCAGCUGGAAAAUCAAGCUGAGGAAAUCAUUGUCCACCUGAGAGGCAGAGCAAAGGAUGUUGUGAGAUUUGGGAUAAGAAAUGGUGAAAUUGAUGUCCAUAAUAACCCACAGGCCAUCUACGGGCUCCUGCGCAAACAUUUUGGCUCAAGCCAUUGCUCCUCAAUGCCCCUAGCUGACUUUUAUUCUACCUUGCCAAAUGACCAAGAGGACCCCUAUGAGUACUGGCUUAGACUGAACAGAGCUGCUGAUGAUGCUGCUAGCUGCCUUAUAGAACAGGGUAAAACGUUUGACAACCCUAGUGUUGAAGUCACACGUAUGUUCAUCAGACACUGCCCCAGUAGAGAUUUAGCUCUUACCUUUAGAUCAAAGACGAUUGAUAAGUGGUCAGCCCGGGAGGUUCAGGAAGUGCUAGAUGAAUACCACCUAGAGAAGGGACUCGGGUCUUCUACUGAAAGGAGUAGACAAAUCAGCAUGAAUAAAGUCGAGGUAAGCCCUAACACUCCAUUAGUUUCAGACAUCCCAGAACAGAAACCUGCUAUAAGUCAAGACACCUCCACUCUAGAGAGGUUGAUUGGAAUGUUAGAUAAAGUGUUGCUUCAGGGACAAGGUUAUGCUCAAGCCAAUAAAAAGCCCUAUACUAACAGGAGACUUCCACAGAUUGAGGGCUUAAGAGACGUGCCAUGUUCCAUAUGUAAUGACAGCUCACACUCUCCCCUCACACACUGUCAGGAGAACAAACUGUGUUUCCUGUGUCACUUACCUGGCCAUUCAAGACGCAACUGCCCAGAGGGUAGACGUCCUCCUCAACAUUUUCAGCAGGGAAACUGA
ensembl:lncRNA